rnacentral:rRNA from 1 species
AUUGAGCGCUGGCGGCAUGCCUUACACAUGCAGGUCGAACGGUAACGGGCCUUCGGGUGCCGACGAGUGGCGAACGGGUGAGUAAUACAUCGGAACGUGCCCGAUCGUGGGGGAUAACGAGGCGAAAGCUUUGCUAAUACCGCAUACGAUCUACGGAUGAAAGCAGGGGACCGCAAGGCCUUGCGCGGACGGAGCGGCCGAUGGCAGAUUAGGUAGUUGGUGGGAUAAAAGCUUACCAAGCCGGCGAUCUGUAGCUGGUCUGAGAGGAUGAUCAGCCACACUGGGACUGAGACACGGCCCAGACUCCUACGGGAGGCAGCAGUGGGGAAUUUUGGACAAUGGGCGCAAGCCUGAUCCAGCCAUGCCGCGUGCAGGAUGAAGGCCUUCGGGUUGUAAACUGCUUUUGUACGGAACGAAAAGCCUUCUUUUAAUACAGGAGGGUCAUGACGGUACCGUAAGAAUAAGCACCGGCUAACUACGUG